GAGCAGCCAUGAGAAUGUUCAACACCUCCACUCCUGGGCUGGCUGGAUUAUUAAAACAACAUUUCCACUUCCAACCUACAGCUAAAAAGCUUCACUCCAAGAGCUUCGUUGCCCAAAAGAGGCCAUGCUACAAAGCCACCUCAAAAGGCCCAGAACACCUGGUUUCAGGCACAACAGGAAGAUCAGAACAUACCUUAUCAUAAAUAUGCAUAUGCGAGGCAGGAGCCCGCCACCUUCUUGGAGUGAUGCCAUAAUUGACGGAACAAAGUACAACAAAACUUCACAUCACUGGUGGAUCAGAAGAACAGAGGAGAGCUGCUGAAAUGGCAAGCAGAGGCCGGCUCCACAUAUUGCUCUGGGUCUGUGAGAGGAAGGUGAUGCAGAGGAGUCUAAUUCAU